rnacentral:rRNA from 1 species
GUGGGGAAUAUUGGGCAAUGGGCGAAAGCCUGACCCAGCGACGCCGCGUGGGUGAUGAAGGCCUUCGGGUUGUAAAACCCUUUCGUGCGGAAAGAAUAGUCUCGUAGCGAAUAACUACGGGAUUUGACGGUACCGCAGGAAGAAGCACCGGCUAACUCCGUGCCAGCAGCCGCGGUAAUACGGAGGGUGCAAGCGUUGUUCGGAAUUAUUGGGCGUAAAGGGCGCGUAGGUGGUUGUGAUAGUCAGAUGUGAAAUCCUUCGGCUCAACCGAAGAACUGCAUCUGAAACUUCAUAGCUCGAGUACAGGAGAGGGAAACGGAAUUCCCGGUGUAGAGGUGAAAUUCGUAGAUAUCGGGAGGAACACCAGUGGCGAAGGCGGUUUCCUGGCCUGAUACUGACGCUGAGGCGCGAAAGCGUGGGGAGCAAACAGGAUUAGAAACCCUAGUAGUCC